UUGAGCCUGCUGUCUGAUCUAAAAAUGAAUGGAGUCAUGUUUUGUAGCAAUUAUUGUGGCCUUUGUGUUUUGCCAAUUACACAUACAUGCUAGCAGAGAGUAGAUAUGGUUGGCCUUGUUCAAUAGAGCCAUUGGACUUGUCUCAACGAUGUUCCUAUCUGCCACGACAUCGCAGGAUACCUAGGUUGACAAAUUUUCCCUGGCUUUGUAAAGACUACAGCCUGACAGGAGCCCUACUUUGCUUUUCAAAAUGGCGUCGGUACUAGUAUCUACACGUUAAUGGGAGCUAUGUUACCGUGCACUGUCUAUCCAAGAUGGCAAAAUAAUUACAAUGGCUGCUUCUGAUAAUUCCUCUUUCCAAGAAGAGCUUGACGACGAAACAGUUUUUUGAUGUUCUUUUACAUACUAACAUAGGGAUAUACUGCCCUAUUCAUUUGAGCCGGAAUACACUGAAGCCGAGUUGAGACAGCGAGAACAAGAAUUGCGAGACCAGCAAACAACGAUGGGGAGCCACGGUCAGACUCCGACUGGUGGUACCUAUGCGGGUGCUGUCUAGCCAUGCCAACAAAAGAGGAACGUCAGUGCUCAACAAAUUCUCUUGCUGGAGGAGGUCACUGCAGACCCCAUGGAUCAUGUGUAUGUGACAGACCAUUGAAGUUGACUCACAUAUGGAUUUUGGUGUGCGCGAGACGUUCUUCAGAACCUUCAAGAUCAACUGGCGGAGGCAGCCUAGACCAGCUGGACCAGUAGGGCAAAUGACAAACAAYCAAUACUUCUUGGUGGCCUACAGAUUAUUUUGGGAGUUUGUUCUACAUGGGAGAAGCUAGGCACUGAAUCCCCUUGUCUGCAUAUGUUGUUGGAGCCAUAUUAGCAAUGUAUCCCUCACACAGUGGACAGUAUGUUAGAUACAAAUAAGUUGAUGACUCAAGCGGAGAGUGUGUAAGGUCCAUAACAACAAUCUCCCCUUGUAUCAAAGUGACUCUGAACACCUCACUGCACCRCCCAAACAGGCCAUAUGCAAUAUUCACAUUGUAGAACUGUAGUAUUUAUUAUAGGUGUUAGUAGUAUAUUUUUCUUCUACUGUUGUAUAAAUGUCAUACAGUACAUUGCCAUAACUGUUCCUGCAUACUGCUGUGUAAACUCACCUUGGUCUCCAGAGCAAAUAAACUAUGUCUGGAAUAGAA